rfam:Myotis davidii contig121176, whole genome shotgun sequence.
CUCGGGGAGGGGGAGGUCCCUCAGCCCAGAUUGCAAGAGGGCGUAAGCCAGACUGAGGGACCCAACCAGUGCAUG